AUGCAUAUUGCUUCUCUCGGGUGGGCUUUUUUUGCUGUGGAAAAACUGGUCAUAAAACUGCAGGAUGUCAGCAUAAACCAGCAGGCUUGCAUGAAAAUGGCAGCAUCUGCUCUGUCCUGGCUGGCACAGAGUCACCUGGAGGAGCAGCAUCUCCCCCGCAACCCCUCGCACCUCAUCUCUCCAGAAACACCGGGUGAGCAUGGAAGAGAAGGGGACAACACAGUGGCACUGCAGAGCCAGGGCAGAGAAAUGUUGGUUUGUGCAGGAGAACAUCUUUCUGUUUGGUCAAAUAAGCUUCUGCUGUACGUACAGUGCUGA
rnacentral:lncRNA from 1 species